GGAGGUUCUUGGGUGACACCCCAGAAUCAGGCUCCCUCCUGUCUGGUUCUAGGUGUGUCACCUGAGAAAUACA
rfam:Myotis davidii contig190747, whole genome shotgun sequence.